UAGCACCAUAACAAGUUGGAUACAAAACACACUGGUGUCAAAUGGGUUGUAUUCAGUAGUGCACACUGUAGCACCAUAACAAGUUGGAUACAAAACACACUGUUGACAAAUGGGUUGUAAUUCAGUAGUGCACACUGUAGCACCAUAACAAGUUGGAUACAAAACACACUGGUGUCAAAUGGGUUGUAUUCAGUAGUGCACACUGUAGCACCAUAACAAGUUGGAUACAAAACACACUGGUGUCAAAUGGGUUGUAUUCAGUAGUGCACACUGUAGCACCAUAACAAGUUGGAUACAAAACACACUGGUGUCAAAUGGGUUGUAUUCAGUAGUGCACACUGUAGCACCAUAACAAGUUGGAUACAAAACACACUGGUGUCAAAUGGGUUGUAUUCAGUAGUGCACACUGUAGCACCAUAACAAGUUGGAUACAAAACACACUGGUGUCAAAUGGGUUGUAUUCAGUAGUGCACACUGUAGCACCAUAACAAGUUGGAUACAAAACACACCGGUGACAAAUGGGUUGUAUUCAGUAGUGCACACUGUAGCACCAUAACAAGUUGGAUACAAAACACACUGGUGUCAAAUGGGUUGUAUUCAGUAGUGCACACUGUAGCACCAUAACAAGUUGGAUACAAAACACACCGGUGUCAAAUGGGUUGUAUUCAGUAGUGCACACUGUAGCACCAUAACAAGUUGGAUACAAAACACACCGGUGACAAAUGGGUUGUAUUCAGUAGUGCACACUGUAGCACCAUAACAAGUUGGAUACAAAACACACUGGUGUCAAAUGGGUUGUAUUCAGUAGUGCACACUGUAGCACCAUAACAAGUUGGAUACAAAACACACUGGUGUCAAAUGGGUUGUAUUCAGUAGUGCACACUGUAGCACCAUAACAAGUUGGAUACAAAACACACUGUUGACAAAUGGGUUGUAAUUCAGUAGUGCACACUGUAGCACCAUAACAAGUUGGAUACAAAACACACUGGUGUCAAAUGGGUUGUAUUCAGUAGUGCACACUGUAGCACCAUAACAAGUUGGAUACAAAACACACCGGUGACAAAUGGGUUGUAUUCAGUAGUGCACACUGUAGCACCAUAACAGGUUGGAUACAAAACACACCGGUGACAAAUGGGUUGUAUUCAGUAGUGCACACUGUAGCACCAUAACAAGUUGGAUACAAAACACACUGGUGUCAAAUGGGUUGUAUUCAGUAGUGCACACUGUAGCACCAUAACAAGUUGGAUACAAAACACACUGGUGUCAAAUGGGUUGUAUUCAGUAGUGCACACUGUAGCACCAUAACAAGUUGGAUACAAAACACACUGGUGUCAAAUGGGUUGUAAUUCAGUAGUGCACACUGUAGCACCAUAACAAGUUGGAUACAAAACACACUGGUGUCAAAUGGGUUGUAUUCAGUAGUGCACACUGUAGCACCAUAACAAGUUGGAUACAAAACACACUGGUGUCAAAUGGGUUGUAUUCAGUAGUGCACACUGUAGCACCAUAACAAGUUGGAUACAAAACACACUGGUGACAAAUGGGUUGUAAUUCAGUAGUGCACACUGUAGCACCAUAACAAGUUGGAUACAAAACACACCGGUGACAAAUGGGUUGUAUUCAGUAGUGCACACUGUAGCACCAUAACAAGUUGGAUACAAAACACACUGGUGUCAAAUGGGUUGUAUUCAGUAGUGCACACUGUAGCACCAUAACAAGUUGGAUACAAAACACACUGGUGUCAAAUGGGUUGUAUUCAGUAGUGCACACUGUAGCACCAUAACAAGUUGGAUACAAAACACACUGUUGACAAAUGGGUUGUAAUUCAGUAGUGCACACUGUAGCACCAUAACAAGUUGGAUACAAAACACACUGGUGUCAAAUGGGUUGUAUUCAGUAGUGCACACUGUAGCACCAUAACAAGUUGGAUACAAAACACACUGGUGUCAAAUGGGUUGUAUUCAGUAGUGCACACUGUAGCACCAUAACAAGUUGGAUACAAAACACACUGGUGUCAAAUGGGUUGUAUUCAGCAGUGCACACUGUAGCACCAUAACAAGUUGGAUACAAAACAAACUGGUGUCAAAUGGGUUGUAUUCAGUAGUGCACACUGUAGCACCAUAACAAGUUGGAUACAAAACACACUGGUGUCAAAUGGGUUGUAUUCAGUAGUGCACACUGUAGCACCAUAACAAGUUGGAUACAAAACACACCGGUGACAAAUGGGUUGUAUUCAGUAGUGCACACUGUAGCACCAUAACAAGUUGGAUACAAAACACACCGGUGACAAAUGGGUUGUAUUCAGUAGUGCACACUGUAGCACCAUAACAAGUUGGAUACAAAACACACUUGUGUCAAAUGGGUUGUAUUCAGUAGUGCACACUGUAGCACCAUAACAAGUUGGAUACAAAACACACCGGUGACAAAUGGGUUGUAUUCAGUAGUGCACACUGUAGCACCAUAACAAGUUGGAUACAAAACACACUGGUGUCAAAUGGGUUGUAUUCAGUAGUGCACACUGUAGCACCAUAACAAGUUGGAUACAAAACACACUGGUGUCAAAUGGGUUGUAUUCAGUAGUGCACACUGUAGCACCAUAACAAGUUGGAUACAAAACACACUGUUGACAAAUGGGUUGUAAUUCAGUAGUGCACACUGUAGCACCAUAACAAGUUGGAUACAAAACACACCGGUGACAAAUGGGUUGUAUUCAGUAGUGCACACUGUAGCACCAUAACAAGUUGGAUACAAAACACACUGGUGUCAAAUGGGUUGUAUUCAGUAGUGCACACUGUAGCACCAUAACAAGUUGGAUACAAAACACACUGGUGUCAAAUGGGUUGUAUUCAGUAGUGCACACUGUAGCACCAUAACAAGUUGGAUACAAAACACACUGGUGUCAAAUGGGUUGUAUUCAGUAGUGCACACUGUAGCACCAUAACAAGUUGGAUACAAAACACACUGGUGACAAAUGGGUUGUAAUUCAGUAGUGCACACUGUAGCACCAUAACAAGUUGGAUACAAAACACACCGGUGACAAAUGGGUUGUAUUCAGUAGUGCACACUGUAGCACCAUAACAAGUUGGAUACAAAACACACUGGUGUCAAAUGGGUUGUAUUCAGUAGUGCACACUGUAGCACCAUAACAAGUUGGAUACAAAACACACUGGUGUCAAAUGGGUUGUAUUCAGUAGUGCACACUGUAGCACCAUAACAAGUUGGAUACAAAACACACUGGUGUCAAAUGGGUUGUAAUUCAGUAGUGCACACUGUAGCACCAUAACAAGUUGGAUACAAAACACACUGGUGUCAAAUGGGUUGUAUUCAGUAGUGCACACUGUAGCACCAUAACAAGUUGGAUACAAAACACACUGGUGACAAAUGGGUUGUAAUUCAGUAGUGCACACUGUAGCACCAUAACAAGUUGGAUACAAAACACACUGGUGUCAAAUGGGUUGUAUUCAGUAGUGCACACUGUAGCACCAUAACAAGUUGGAUACAAAACACACCGGUGACAAAUGGGUUGUAUUCAGUAGUGCACACUGUAGCACCAUAACAGGUUGGAUACAAAACACACCGGUGACAAAUGGGUUGUAUUCAGUAGUGCACACUGUAGCACCAUAACAAGUUGGAUACAAAACACACCGGUGACAAAUGGGUUGUAUUCAGUAGUGCACACUGUAGCACCAUAACAAGUUGGAUACAAAACACACUGGUGACAAAUGGGUUGUAUUCAGUAGUGCACACUGUAGCACCAUAACAAGUUGGAUACUAAACACACUGGUGACAAAUGGGUUGUAAUUCAGUAGUGCACACUGUAGCACCAUAACAAGUUGGAUACAAAACACACUGGUGUCAAAUGGGUUGUAUUCAGUAGUGCACACUGUAGCACCAUAACAAGUUGGAUACAAAACACACCGGUGACAAAUGGGUUGUAUUCAGUAGUGCACACUGUAGCACCAUAACAAGUUGGAUACAAAACACACCGGUGACAAAUGGGUUGUAAUUCAGUAGUGCACACUGUAGCACCAUAACAAGUUGGAUACAAAACACACUGGUGUCAAAUGGGUUGUAUUCAGUAGUGCACACUGUAGCACCAUAACAAGUUGGAUACAAAACACACUGGUGUCAAAUGGGUUGUAUUCAGUAGUGCACACUGUAGCACCAUAACAAGUUGGAUACAAAACACACCGGUGACAAAUGGGUUGUAUUCAGUAGUGCACACUGUAGCACCAUAACAAGUUGGAUACAAAACACACUGGUGUCAAAUGGGUUGUAUUCAGUAGUGCACACUGUAGCACCAUAACAAGUUGGAUACAAAACACACCGGUGACAAAUGGGUUGUAUUCAGUAGUGCACACUGUAGCACCAUAACAAGUUGGAUACAAAACACACUGGUGUCAAAUGGGUUGUAUUCAGUAGUGCACACUGUAGCACCAUACCAAGUUGGAUACAAAACACACUGGUGUCAAAUGGGUUGUAUUCAGUAGUGCACACUGUAGGGCAGACCAGCUGUCAAUGUGUGCCAACAGAGCUGUCUAACAGCAGCUAGCAGGCAGGGUUUUGGGCCUUCCUCCUACAAAAUGGGUUCUGGGAAGUGCUUAUGUGGCGCCUUUACCCUCCUUUCCCCCUUCAUUAUUUCCCUUCUAUUUCCUUGUCUCCCCCUGUUGUUUUAUCUCUCUCUCUCUGUCUCUCUCUGUCUCUCUCUCUCUCUGUCUCUCUCUCUCUCUCUGUCUCUCUCUCUCAAUUCAAUUCAAUUCAAUUCAAUUCAAGGGCUUUAUUGGCAUGGGAAACAUGUGUUAACAUUGCCAAAGCAAGUGAGGUAGACAACAUACAAAGUGAAUAUAGAAGGUGAAAAACAACAAAAAUUAACAGUAAACAUUACACAUACAGAAGUUUCAAAACAGUAAAGACAUUACAAAUGUCAUAUUAUAUAUAUAUAUAUAUAUAUAUAUAUAUA